rnacentral:rRNA from 1 species
AUUGAACGCUGGCGGCACGCCUAACACAUGCAAGUCGAGCGGUAACAUGAUUUGUAGCAAUACAAAUUGAUGACGAGCGGCGGGCGGGUGGGGAACACGUAGGAAUCUGCCCAGAAGCGGGGGACAACCACGGGAACCUUUGGCUAAUACCGCGUAAUCUCGCAAGAGUAAAGCUGCCCGCAAGGGUGGCGCUUCUGUAGUAGCCUGCGUCCGAUUAGUUAGUUGGUGAGGUAAGAGCUCACCAAGGCGAUGAUCGGUACGUGGUCUGAGAGGACGACCAGUCACACUGGGAGGAAGACACGGCACAGACGCCUACGGGAGGCAGCAGUGGGGAAUAUUGGACAAUGGGGGCAACCCUGAUCGAGCGAUGCCGCGUGGGUGAGGAAGGGCUUCGGGUUGUAAAGCCGUUUAGGUUGGGAAGAAGUGUACGGGGCGAAUAACCCCGUAUGUUGACGGUACCGACAAAAUAAGCACCGGCAAACUCUGGGCCAGCCGCCGCGGUAA